UUGAAGUAUUCUUUACCGCUUUUCAGUGAUAUCAGUUUUCUCUAUGACACAAUUUCAAAAUGACAAUCAUGAAGGUGCAUUAUCAAAUCCUUUUCACACUUUGUGAACUCCAUUUUCAAACCCUUGAAGAGUAAAUGCAAUCUAUUUCAAUACCCACUACAAUGUGAAAGAGUACCUAUUAAUAAAGGCUGAGUUGAGUAAUCAAAUUCAAAAUGCGGAGACCUUUCACGCUGUCAUCUAUCAGAGGAUGUCUAUAACAUUGGAUAUUGGGACAGAACACUGCUCGCACAUGAAUCACUGGAGGAUGAAGAAGAAUCCAUUUUGACACUAUUGUUCGAGAGAAGGCGCCGACAAGUAACCAAUGCAACAAAUUUUGUACUGAGCUUCAAAACUUUUAGUACCUGCAUUUA